rnacentral:lncRNA from 1 species
CCAUGCAGGGAGCUGGAGAGUUGUGACAUUCUCAAGCCUCUGACUCUGUGGCUGCUUCUUUGAAUCUUAUCUUUGCUGUGCUAACAUCCAAAUAGCAGUAUUGUUGGGAUGCUUUUGACAGCUAUCCAGAGAACGCCCAAAGAGAACAACAGAAUGCUUAGGUGCCAUAUUUGUGCUUGCAAAGGAAAGGGGAAGAGUGAACCCAAAUGCCAGCUUCUCUUCUUAGAGGGAUAAAGGAAACUAUCACUAGCUUUGCUUCUGGAUGCAUGGGGACAUUUGUUGCUCAUUGAACGAUGAUGAAUGCUGCGUGUUUCUAUUUAUGAAACAGAAUGAGAGGGGUGGUAGGGACUGUUGGAAAAUGAAACCUCACUUGGUUGUUCCUGAUUCUGUGCCUCCUCGUCUCAGGUCCCUGAGCAACAUGGGAAAUGGUUCAGUGAAACCCAAACAUUCCAAGCAUCCAGAUGGCCACACCGGGAAUCUCAGCACUGAUGCCCUGCGGAGCAAGGUGACGGAGCUGGAGAGAGAGCUGAGGAGGAAGGNGGGGUACAGUGUGAUAUGUCAACAC